rnacentral:lncRNA from 1 species
GCCAGCGCAUUCUUUGAGUGGCAUAUAUUGUUAUUUUGCUGGAACUUGAAUUUCAAGAAGAUUAACUCUAUGAAACUCAGAAACUUGUAGAAGAUUGUCUCUCACAGAAAUAAGAUUCCUAGAAUCUACUUUGGAAGACCUUUUUAUUUCCUGAUAUUAUGAUAAUUGUAAGGGUUUAAAAUAUAUAACUAUGGAUUUUGACAUUGCUAGAACGGGUACCGACAUUAAGUUAUGUAUAACAGAGACAUCCCAAGCGGUUUUUUUGAUCACAAGAUCGUAGGAAGAUUGUCGGAAAUAAGAAAAGUGAUGUAGGAAUCACGGGGCAGCCGACGACGGAAUUGCGUUAUUGGUCGGUAGUCUUCAUGGAAUCGGUGUCGAGAGGAUCAUAACUCAUCGCCUUUCGGCCAUGAGCCCCGCCGGUUUUCGGGGAAAUUCCAUCGUUUUGCGCACCAAAAGGGCAAUUUUGCCGUUUUUAGUAAUUCUUGUUUUAGGCUAUACUUUGACUGGUUAAAAGUGCCAAAUUAAUUCCCGGUUGUUGGGAAAUUUGUGCCUAAGUGAGUAGUAGGCUGAUUUAGUUAUUAACGCAAAUUUUUUUCUUUCGAGUAAUUUUCCCCUAAUAUUUGUUUGAUUUUUCUUGGCCUAAGUUCCGUGAUAACAAAAUUAGGGUUUCUAGUUAUUAUUUAAGCAUCUUGUAGCCUUCGGGCAAAUCAGUUUUUGACAUUAAUUAAAAUUCAGAGUAGUUUCUCUUCUUAUUUUCUUGUGGAUUCACGGAAACCCAGUGAAUUCUAUUUUUAUAUUGUUCUAGAGAUAGACGUGUUCUGCUUAGCCGUUCUCUUUGAAUGCCGCCUGCGUCAGUUGGUAUCAGAUCCUUGUCUUUACCCCUGGUUCUGAUGGUAAUACGGCAAGAAGGUAGCAUCAAUGAGGAAGCACGGAGAAACCAUCAACCCUGGGUGAGUUCCGUCAAUUUGCCACAAGAGACUCCCAGGAAAUCUUGCGCGAUUUGCACAAUCACUCGCUGCCUUUUGCCUAGAGAGCCCUAUCAUGGUAUCGGUGGACUACACCAGGAGCGCCAAGAGCGUGAUCACCGUGGCUAUGAUCGCGGUCCGGUUCAUCCUACUAGGCCCCCAGUCUUGAGGAUUAGGCAGUGAAGAUGAAAGCGCUAUGCCCAUGAAGUUUUUUGGUGGUGGGCUUGGUCCAAGGAGGUCUGGUCAAGGGGUCGUGGCAAGGGAAUCAUGAUCAAGGAGGUCGUAUGUUUGGAAACUUUGAACCAGAGACAUCGUAUGAAUGGAUCCCCGUCUUUCAACGGUAACCUUCAGAUCGAAGGAUUGUCUAGAUGGAUUAUCGAGGUUGAACGGUUCUUGAGUAUAUGGAGAUCCCAGAAGAAAAGCAAGUCAAACUAGUGGCAUACAAAUUAAAGGGGGGAGCAUCAGCAAUGGUGACACUUUCACAAAGUCGCGCCCGUCAGAGGAAGGCCCCGAAUACGUCCGUGGAGAAGGAUGAGGAGUUUGAUGGAAGAGCGAUUUCUACACCAGAUUAUCAACAAGAGUUGUUCAAGCAAUAUCAGUAGUGUACUGGUCAGGGGGUCGAACCAAGUGAGGCCUCUACGGAGAAUUUUAAACAGACUGUUCUGCACGCCACAAUCUGCCGGACAUCGAGGUCAGUGCAGAUUGCCAGAUUUGUGAAUGGGCUGAGAGUAGCGAUUCGAGAUCAGGUCCCUUACAAACUCUUAUUCCCUAAUGAAGGCGGUGACGUUAGCCAGGAAAAAGUUGAAUCCCAACAGAAUCGACAUACACAAGAUCCCAGUUUUCUAAUAGGGGAAAACGCAGUACCUUCUCCGCAGUCCCAAUCUUUGACAACAGUGGGAGGUCAGACGAAGGUAGUAACAACAGGAUCAACUACACGUCAAGGGGGUAACCCUAAUCCAUACGCCAAGGCCUCGGAGAUAAUGCUACAGAUGUGUUGUGAACCUUGACAUCGCUCGAAUCGUGCAAAGUAGGUCAACGUGAACCUGUGGAGGCAGUACCAUAGGAGGAGGGAUGGUGGAGAUGACAUGGGUGAUGUCGACCCUUAUUCUUAUUACCCUAAUGAUUUUCAAAUGAACUAAGAGGGUGAGUUACCUGGGAAUCUCUGUGAUCCAAGUGGUCUGCUGACACCUAAGAGAGUGGAUUCUAGCCAGCGCCCAAGAUCUUUCGAGGGCAGUGUACCAUCAACAAUCGGGUCCUGUAUCUCAUCAUUGAUAGCGGGAAGUGGGAGAACAAGCCUCGAAGAGUUGGUUACAGAAAGUUGUGGGGGUCUGAAAACAGAGAAGGCACCCGGACCCUACACGAUUGGCUGGAUUAAGAAAGGGAGUGUAGUUAAGGUAACUGAUACUUGCCGAAUAAAGUUUUCAAAUUGUGUGAACUAACUAUGUGCUACGACGUGUGUGUUGUGUGGGGAAGUGGUUGAUAUGGAUGCUGUCACCAUCUUUUGGGUAGGCCCUGUCAACAUGAUGUGGGAUGCUGUGCAUAAGGGGAAACGACACGUUUACGUGAUUCUAUCAUAAUGAUAGGAAGUCCGUCCUCGGUCCGCUCAAGAGGAGUAGUACUCCUAAGGUUCAUAAGGAGGGAGGGUAAUCAUCUGUCUUGCUGUUCAUAAUGAGGAAACGAGGUUGCGACAAAGAGGCCAGAGAAUCCAAGCCGAUUUUUGCGAUGGUACUUACGAGAAACACCCAAAAUCCCUCCAGAAGUUCGCGGUAUCAUUACACCUCUGAUCAAAGAGUUCCAAGGAUUUGUUCCCUGACGAGUUACCUGCGGGUUGCCACCUAUGCGGGAUAUUCAGCACUGUAUCGAUUUAGUCCCUGGAGCAAGUCUGCCCAAUCUUCCCCAUUGAUCGGAUGCGUUCUAAGGAGAUCAGAUUCUAACAAACAAGGCCAAUUGGAAGUGACCUAUUCAGACAAGGACAGAUUAUGGAGAGCAUGAGUCCGAAUGCGCCGUACCGCCCUAUAACAAACCAAAGAAAGGAUGAAGUUUGGGCGUAUGUGUGUGGACAUUCGCGCCAUCAAUAAGAUUACAGUCAAGGGUACAGGUUUUUCCAAUUCCGCGUUUGGAUGAAUGUUUGACAUGCUGCGUGGUCAAAAAUUUAUUCGAGCUUGAUCUCAAAAGUGGCUACCAUUGAAUCCGGUAUUCGAGCCGGAGACGAGUGUAAAACGGCGUUCAAGACCAAGGAAGGCUUUCGAGUUGGAAUGGUGAUGGCCGUUCUGAUUUGUCCAACACGCACCAAGCCUUUUAUUGAGACUCAUGAAUCAGUUUUCUAAACCUUUAUGGCAAUUUAUAGUUUUGUGUAGUUUGAUGAUAUAUUGAUUUUAGUCAGAAUGAAUCGAUCACCUAUAAUCCAUGUUCCGAGAGGUGGCUGACAGGUCCUAAUCCGCUCAAUAAGCUGUACUCACCUGAAGAGAGUGCAGUUUCCUGACUGAUAGGCUUUUGUUCUUGGGGUAACGUCGUUAGUGCUGACUGGAUUCAUGUGAUGAGGAUAAAGGUGCGGCUAAUCGGGAGUGGCCAUCCCCCUAAAACAGUCAGCGACGUAAGGAGCUUUCGGAUGGAGCUAGCAACUUUCUACAGGAGGUUUUCGAAUUUUAGGCAGUAUAUUAUCCCCGAUCACUGGGAUCAUGAGAAGGGAAUUUCUCAUGGGAGAAUCAGCAGAACAUAUUUUUGCAGUCAUCAGAAGAAAAGCUGAGUACUGCUCCAGUCUCGCUUUGCCCACUUUGAGAAGCUGUUUCAAGUUGAAUGUGACGCGUCAGUAGUGGGUGUUGGAGCUGUGCUCUCACAAGGGAAGCCAGUGGCCUUUUUCAUGAGAAGCUUUGCGAAGCACGGCGCAAGUGUUCCGCGUAUGAGUUAGAACUUAUUGCAGUGGUGCGGUCCCUUAGGCAUUUGUGACAUUACCUAGUCCAGAGGGAGUUUUCUUAUUCACGGAUCAUCAGGCCCUGAAUUUAUCAAUAGUCAUGACUGCUAUCAAUGCCGGAUGCAUGCUCGGUGGGUAGUCCUAUAUACAAACACGUUCUCUUUUUCAUUAAACAUAGUCUGGCAAUUUCUAAUACGUGGCGACGCCCUCAGUCCGGAAGCAGCAUUACUAGUGAACCUUGCGAACAGAAGUGGUUGUUUUUGAUUGUCUGAAAGGAGUUUGUAGCGAGGAGAUAAAGACUUUGGGAGAUUGGGAAAAGUGUCAGCAGACUCAAACGCCUUGAAGGGUUUGCACCUACAAUAUGGAUUUUUAUUUCGAGGGACCCAAUUUAUGUAUUCCUGAAAGUUCGUUGCGGGAGGCAAGUUAUUCGGGAAUUGGCAUGGUUGGGAUGGGGAGGACAUUUGGGAUCGAGAUAAACUGUGGCCCUAGUGGAAGAAAUCGUUAUUAUUGGCCCCAAUUACAAAGCGAGAUGGGGGAAAUCACGUGGGAAGUGCCCUAUAUGUUCGACCGCCAAGGGGCAGUCGCAGAACACAGGCCUUUAUAUGCCCCUACAGUUCCUAAGCGCCUUGGUAGGACGCUAUCUAUGGAUUUUAUAUUGGGCCUGCCCCGGACCCAGCGAGGUAUGGAUUCCGUCUUUGUGGUGGUUAUAGAUAUUCAAGAUUGCACACUGUAUAGGCGUGUAGGAAAAGACGUCUGAUGCUACUCGAGUUGUCUAAUCUAUUUUUAAGGUAAGUCCGUGCGCUUGCGCAUGGUGUGUCCCCGUCUAUCACUCUUCUGAUCGUAUACGAAGUUCCUCAGUCACUUUUGGAGGACUUUAUGGAAGCGUUUUGACACUUCACUGAAUUAAAAAUCAGUACCCGCCGUCCCUCAAUCGAUGGUCAGAAGAUGUAGUCAACCGAACUUUGGGUAACCUUAUCCGGUGUAUGCUCUGUGAAAAGCCAAAUAGUGGGAUCUCGCGCUAUCCCAAGCCGAAUUUGCAUACAUAACAGUACAGUUUAACCGAAGCACAGGCCAAGUCCCCGUUUCUAUCGUCUACUGUUUUCCACAAAGCCCACGCAUUAGACCUGGUACCACGACCGGAGCCUCCCUCUAUUAGUCUUGCGAGCUGAGAACAUGGCGGAGCGGCAUCCAGACUAUGCAGAUGAUUUCUACAACGACUUGAAGCCUCCAAUGGCAAAUACAUGACAGCGGCUGACCCGAAGAGGCGAGAGAAGUUUUUAUUGAAUGGGAUUUGGUGAUGGUCUACCUCCGUAAGGAGCGUUUUUCCAGCUUGAACUUAUAAUAACCUGACAGAACCAAGAAGUAUGGGCCGUUUCAUAUUGUUGAGAUAAGAUCAAUAAUAAUGCCUAUGUCGUUGCAUGCCGCUGAUAUGGGUAUUUCAUCUACAUUUUAAUGUUGCUGAUCUGUAUGAGUAUUACCCUCCAGACGAUGCUGAUAGUGGGAACUCGGGGUCGAGUUUCUUUUGCAAGUUGGGGGACGAUGUAGAACAGACAGCCCAAGCUUUCCUUGAGCACAAGAUCGUAGGAGAAUCCGGAAAGAGAAAAGUUGAUAGUAUGGAAAUCACGGGCACCGACGACGGAAUUGCGUGAUAUUCGUAGUCUUAAUGGGAAUCGUCGAGAGGAUCAGAACUCAUCGCCUUUCGGCCAUGAGCCCCGCCGGUUUUCGGGGAAAUUCCAUCGUUACCCCCCACCAAAAGGGCAAUUUUGCCGUUUUUUCGUAAUUAUUGUUUUUAGUUAUAACUUUUAAUUUAAAAGUCCAAAUUUAAUUCCGUUUGUUGGGAAAUGUUUCCUAAUUAGAGUAGUACUGAUUUUAGGUAUUACUGUCGACAUUGUUCUUUCGGUAAUUUUCCUUAUUUUUUUGAUUUUCUUAAGCCUAUUCCGUGUGACCCAAUUAGUGGUCUCUUAAUUAUUUAAGCAUCUUGUAGCCUUCGGGCAAAUCAGUUUUUGACAGUAAUAAAUUCAGAGUAUUUGUGCUGCGUGCUCUUAUUUUCUUGUGACUCAAUGAACCCUAGUGGACUUCUAGGUUAUUGUUCUAGAUAUGUACGUGUUUGUCUUGUCUUUUUGUAUUCCGCCUGCGUGUCAUUACUGUUAACACGCGAUGACCGGUACGUUUUCGGUGGUUUUUACACACCAGAACUUGGUCGAGACACCACCGAAUAUAGAUAUUGUCUGAGUUAAAGCCACUAAUACUCCGGAACUGUAGCUUUCUAGUAAGCUAAGUGGAGUAAUCGCGUCGGAGUUUGGACGAGGGGCGACGGCCGAUAGAGAUCCCAAGCUUGUCCAGGGACAAAGAUAUUUCGCGAACAAAUUUCUUUCUUCUUACGCUUCCACACUUGGACAGAGACGUUAGCAGUUCGAAAAAUUAGUUCGUCAAUCUGAAUCGGUCAGUUUGGUUCAAUUUUUUUUAAUAGCCAAUUUAGUUCCGAUUCUAAAAUUAUGAAAACGCCUUUGUCGGUUUGGUACACUAAUUAAUGAGUUCGAUUCCAAUUUUGAACUGAACCGGACCAGAUAAUAUUAACAAAAUAUUUUUUUUAAUGAGUUUAUACUUUAUAUACUUUUUUACAUCUUAAUUCAUAUUGUUACUUUAUAUAAUCUUUAAAAAUUGUCUAACUAUAUUAAAUAUUUAUUUUUAAAAAAACUAUAUUAUAUGUUUAUGUCAUAAAUUCUUUGUUAUUUAGUUGUUAAUUUUUAAAUAUGAAGUCAAUGAAUUAUAUUAAAUAAUAUGGUGAGUGAUUGUAUAGUAGGAAAUUUAACUACCUAAACCGUGGUUUGGAAUUGAAAACGGAAUCGAAUUUGUAUUUUUAAGUUCGGAUUGGAUUAAUUUUACGGACGGAUUGGUUGGUCCUGAAAUUUCAAAAAUCAUAGAAUUUGGUUCGGUCUUUGAUUUUACUCAAAACCAAUUCAAUCUGAACCGUGGACACCUUAGUCUCUUUAAUCUGUGAACCAAACCGAUCAAAGCAUUUUUCAGAAUUUUAGAAUUGAAAUCGAACUGGCUAUACAAAAAUUUGAACCAAAUCGACUGAUUGAGAUCAUCUCGGAUCGAUUUUUUGGACACCCCAAAAGAGACCGGAAAUAGAAGAGAAAAGAAAAGAAUAAAAAGGAAAGAGAAUACACUAAAUACUCAGAAAAAGUAUUAUUUUUAAAAAAGAAAACAAUAAAAUAAAGAAAAGAGAGAAUACAUUCAAUAUUCAGAGAAAAAAAUGUUAAUUUUAUUUAAAAUAAUUGUGACUCGAGCAAAUGUAGUCAGUGCCAUUAGUGUCAACCUUUACUACUGAUUUGAUAAACCUUUAGAAUAAAAGUCUGACCCACGUGGCAGGGCUUACCCGAGUUCGAAUUCUCAAAGAAUUUCUAAAGUAUUAUAAAAUAACAUCAUUUUGAUUUAUAAAUAUACAAAACGAUAUCAUUUUGUAUUAUUCACAAAACGAUGUUAUUUUAUGAAUCAUAUAAAAUAACAUUAUUUUUAACCAUCAUAAAUUAAAAUGAUGUCUUUAACAACAUACGUUGUUUUAUAAAGUCUAUAUAAAAUAACGUCAUGUUUUACUAUCAUAAACUGAAAUCACGUCUU